rnacentral:rRNA from 1 species
CCCAACUUCGGUUAUAAGAUCCCUCAAAGAUGAUGAGGUUAAUAGGUUCGAGGUGGAAGCGUGGUGACACGUGGAGCUGAAGAAUACUAAUCGAUCGAAGACUUAAUCAAA